rnacentral:rRNA from 1 species
AGAGUUUGAUCCUGGCUCAGAUUGAACGCUGGCGGCAUGCUUUACACAUGCAAGUCGAACGGCAGCACGAAAGAGCUUGCUCUUUUUGGUGGCGAGUGGCGAACGGGUGAGUAAUGCAUCGGAACGUACCGAGUAAUGGGGGAUAACUAUCCGAAAGGAUAGCUAAUACCGCAUACGCUUUGAGAAGGAAAGUGGGGGCUCUUCGGACCUCACGUUAUUCGAGCGGCCGAUGUCUGAUUAGCUAGUUGGUGGGGUAAAGGCCUACCAAGGCGACGAUCA